UACAGAGGUCCCAAGCGUUGUUCGGAUUCACCGGGCGUAAAGGGUGCGUAGGCGGUCGGGUAAGUCUGAUGUGAAAUCUCACAGCUUAACUGUGAAACUGCAUUGGAUACUAUCCGGCUCGAGGAAUGGAGGGGAGACUGGAAUACUUGGUGUAGCAGUGAAAUGCGUAGAUAUCAAGUGGAACACCAGUGGCGAAGGCGAGUCUCUGGACAUUUCCUGACGCUGAGGCACGAAAGCCAGGGGAGCAAACGGG
rnacentral:rRNA from 1 species